rfam:Hypsibius dujardini strain Z151 scaffold0011, whole genome shotgun sequence.
GGGCCGUUAGAUCAGUGGUAGAUCGCUCGCUUUGCAUGCGAGAUGUCGAGGGUUCAAACCCCUCACGGUCCA